GGGGUUGUAGCUCAGUGGUAGAGCACUUGCCUAGUUGUGUGAGGCCCUGAGUUCGAUCCUCAGCACCACA
rnacentral:tRNA from 1 species